rnacentral:tRNA from 1 species
GCGCAGGCGAAGGAUACUUCGGUCUCCUAAACCGGAGGUCCGGGUUCGACUCCCGGCGGCCGCU